GACGAACGCUGGCGGCGUGCUUAACACAUGCAAGUCGAACGGAAAGGCCAUGCGCUUGCUGGUUUCUCGAGUGGCGAACGGGGGGGUAACACGUGAGUAAAAUGUCCUUGACUUUGGGAUAUCAUUAGGGAACACGGGAUAAUACCGGGUAGGAGCUCCUGAUGCAUAGGGGGGGUUGGAAAGGUUCGGCGGUUGGGGAUGGACUCGCGGCUUAUCAGCUUGUUGGGGGGGUAGUGGCUUACCAAGGGUUUGACGGAUAGCCGGCCUGGGAGGGUGACCGGCGACAAUGGGACUGCGAGAGGGAGCAGACGCCUACCGGCGGCAGUAGGGGGGAGUAUUGCGCAGUGGGGCGAAGUGUGAUGCAGCAGCGUCGCGUGCGUGAUGACGUGCUACGGGUUGUAAACCGAUUUCGCCUGAGACGAAGCGUGAGUGACGGUACUGGGUAAAGAAGCACCGGCUAACUACGUG
rnacentral:rRNA from 1 species